rnacentral:lncRNA from 1 species
ACAGUGUUUGCUACCCAUUCUGGAUAUUGUACUUCUCUUAUGGACCCUAUCUUCAAAAGUUUAUCCACUUCGUCAUUUACUAUUUUUGCUCGCUCCACUCCAAGCUUUCUUCUUUUUUGUUUCACCGGUUUGAAGCUUGGAUCCACGUUUAGUUCAUGACAAAUUAUACUUGGAUUUAUGCCAGGUAUGUCCGCUGCUGACCAUGCAAACGAUGUUUUGUUUUUCCUUAAGAGUUCGAUCAAA